GCCGGUGUAGCUCAGUUGGUAGAGCAACUGAUUCGUAAUCAGUAGGUCCGCGGUUCGAGUCCGCGCACCGGCACCA
rnacentral:tRNA from 1 species